CAGGAGCUAGUUUAAAAUAAAACGGUUGUUUUGGGGACAACAGACACAAAGUUAGCAUUGUGCACCUGA
rnacentral:tRNA from 1 species